CAGCAGCCGCGGGAAUACGUAGGUGGCAAGCGUUAUCCGGAAUUAUUGGGCGUAAAGCGCGCGUAGGCGGUUUUUUAAGUCUGAUGUGAAAGCCCACGGCUCAACCGUGGAGGGUCAUUGGAAACUGGAAAACUUGAGUGCAGAAGAGGAAAGUGGAAUUCCAUGUGUAGCGGUGAAAUGCGCAGAGAUAUGGAGGAACACCAGUGGCGAAGGCGGCUUUCUGGUCUGCAACUGACGCUGAUGUGCGAAAGCGUGGGGAUCAAACAGGAUUAGAUACCCCCGUAGUCCCUGUCUCUUAUAA
rnacentral:rRNA from 1 species